CCUACGGGUGGCAGCAGUGGGGCAUAUUGCACAAUGGGGGAAACCCUGAUGCAGCGACGCUGCGUGAGUGAAGAAGUACUUCGUUAUGUAAAGCUCUAUCAACAGGGAAGAAAAUCACGGUACCUGACUAAUAAGCCCCGGCUAACUACGUGCCAGCAGCCGCGGUCAUACUUAGGGGGCAAGCGUUCUCCGGAUUUACUGGGUGUAAAGGGAGCGUAGACGGAAGUGCAAGUAUGGAGUGAAAGGCGGGGGCUCAAACCCCGGACUGCUCUGGAAACUGUACGGCUGGAGUGCAGGAGAGGUAAGUGGAAUUCCGAGUGUAGCGGUGAAAUGCGGAGAUAUUAGGAGGAACACCAGUGGCGAAGGCGGCUUACUGGACUGUAACUGACGUUGAGGCUCGAAAGCGUGGGGAGCAAACAGGAUUAGAUACCCGAGUAGUC
rnacentral:rRNA from 1 species